rnacentral:rRNA from 1 species
GACAGAGGGUGCAAACGUUGUUCGGAUUUACUGGGCGUAAAGCGUGCGCAGGCGGUGAUGUAAGACAGAUGUGAAAUCCCCGGGCUCAACCUGGGAACUGCAUUUGUGACUGCAUCGCUGGAGUGCGGCAGAGGGGGAUGGAAUUCCGCGUGUAGCAGUGAAAUGCGUAGAUAUGCGGAGGAACACCGAUGGCGAAGGCAAUCCCCUGGGCCUGCACUGACGCUCAUGCACGAAAGCGUGGGGAGCAAACAGG